UACAGAGGGUGCAAGCGUUAAUCGGAAUUACUGGGCGUAAAGCGCGCGUAGGUGGUUCAGUAAGAUGGAAGUGAAAUCCCCGGGCUUAACCUGGGAACUGCUUUCAUAACUGCUGAGCUAGAGUACGGUAGAGGGUAGUGGAAUUUCCUGUGUAGCGGUGAAAUGCGUAGAUAUAGGAAGGAACACCAGUGGCGAAGGCGACUACCUGGACUGAUACUGACACUGAGGUGCGAAAGCGUGGGGAGCAAACAGGAUUAGAUACCCGGGUAGUCCCU
rnacentral:rRNA from 1 species